UAGUUUGCAUUGUUGUAUUGA
ensembl:piRNA 21ur-412 ncRNA